rnacentral:lncRNA from 1 species
GUUGUAGUGAAGAGAGAAUACGGGACAACUGCAGGACCACAGCUCAGCCAAGACACAACCACAUGACUGAAGACAGAGAUCAUCUGGGUCAGUGUUUCAGAAAAUGUUGCCAAGAAACUUCAAAUGCAGAUUCCUGGACCUCCGUGCAAACUACUAUAUUAGAAGCUCCCUUGCAGCUGAGUUGGCCAUAUGACUGACAGCAAGCCCUGGAAUGCAGCCAGAAGUGAUAGAAGCCUCUUUCACACCAUGCUCCUAAAAUAUUCCAAGAAAUUUUCCAAACCUACUCUUUUUAGUCUGUGCAUCUGGAAGUGAAAGUUUUAGAAAGGGUAAAGUCACUUAAUGGAAAGGGCCCAGAUCUAGCCCCUCGGAGCCAAGCUGUCCAACUAGAAAUUCUGCAUUAGUAUUUGCGACAGAUCUUUGGAGAGAAAAUGCCAAGAGUGGAUGGAGAGGCAAUGGUGAAGCUGAGGCUGAAGUCGGAGGAAGCUGUGAACCCUGCAUGGGGUACCUGAACACCAGGGCAAGUUUCUGGCCCAGAAUGGCUUCUGGGAAAGGGGAUAUGACAUCUUAGGAAGAAGGGACUGGGGGAAAGAAAGCACUUUCUGCUUCUGUGGAUAUAAACACACAGUGUUUUAUUCCCUAGUGCAACAAAACCUCAAGAUCAACAGACAAGAGCUGAAAACCCUUUCCCACCAGACACAGUGCCAUCUAAAUGUUCUCUCAAAAGAUAGCAUCUCAUAAACAAUUUCAACAAAAGGAUGUCAGCUUUUACUUUAUGUGCAUGCACAAAAUCACUUUUCAGGAAAAAAAAUGACCAUUACCGAAUCCAUCAUAAAAUUAAUUACAUUUAGUUGAUCACGUUGGCUGACUGGUUAUAACUCUUGCUGUAUUUUCCAGAAG